CUUGAGGUUUGUGGAAUGCUACCUGUGUUAUCAGAGGUCAGCACUAAGAGCAGAGCUGGCACAGAGAAAGGCUGACAUCAUCUAAAUAUAAAUAAAAGGAUGAGAGCACAGACCAGGUGCCCUGGAGGACCUCCACCUUUAGUGAGAGAGCAGCGGACUUCCAAGAAGGUGUAAGAAAUUCAUGGGAAGAAGUUUGUCACUUCCACAAAAACUUUCCUAAAACACAGAGAGAACACCAGCACAUUGAUGAACAUGUUAUUUGUGAAAGAAAAGGAACGGAAUGCUAGAGAGUCAAUACAAAGUUGGAGACUAAUUAAAACUAGAUCACACCUCCCUUGGGCCCAAGACGGUGUGAACAGCAGCAUCCCGAUAUCGUUUGCAGAACACUGUGUAAAACGAGCACCGGAGUCAUUUGCUGUAACCUUUGUGGGGAGGCGCACAUACAUGCGGAACCUGGGUGGCAGAUGACAAGCUUGCACUGCCACACCUGCCUCUGCCUGUCUUUGAAUGGCUUUUCAUCCCCGGCCGGUAAGGACAGGUGAGUCUGUUCAUGU
rnacentral:lncRNA from 1 species